UACAGAGACUGCAAGCGUUAUUCGGAUUCACUGGGCGUAAAGGGUGCGCAGGCGGCCAAGUGUGUGAGGCGUGAAAGCCCGGGGCUCAACCCCGGAAUUGCACCUCAAACUACAUGGCUAGAGCGUUGGAGAGGGUAGCAGAAUUCAUGGUGUAGCAGUGAAAUGCGUAGAUAUCAUGAGGAAUACCAGAGGCGAAGGCGGCUACCUGGACAAUUGCUGACGCUCAGGCACGAAAGCGUGGGGAGCAAAAGGG
rnacentral:rRNA from 1 species